rnacentral:rRNA from 1 species
CGCAAUGGGGGAAACCCUGACGCAGCGACGCCGCGUGUAGGAAGAAGGCCUUCGGGUCGUAAACUACUGUCAAGAGGGAAGAACCCGCAGGGCAUUAAUACGGCUCUGCGCUGACGGUACCUCUAGAGGAAGCACCGGCUAACUCCGUGCCAGCAGCCGCGGUAAUACGGAGGGUGCGAGCGUUAAUCGGAAUCACUGGGCGUAAAGCGUGCGUAGGCGGCGUAUCAAGUCAGGCGUGAAAGCCCUCGGCUCAACCGGGGAAUUGCGCUUGAAACUGGUAUGCUGGAGUCUCGGAGAGGUUGGCGGAAUUCCAGGUGUAGGAGUGAAAUCCGUAGAUAUCUGGAGGAACACCGGUGGCGAAGGCGGCCAACUGGACGAGUACUGACGCUGAGGUACGAAAGCGUGGGUAGCAAACAGGAUUAGAUACCCUGGUAGUCCACGCUGUAAACGAUGGAUAUUAGGUGUCGGGGUUUAACUUCGGUGCCGCAGUUAACGCGU